GCCCUCCUCCCGAUUUGCUAAAAAAACAGAACUCCCGUAUCCCUAACCUCAUCCCGAUCCGCCGCCGCCGUGAUCCCAACCAUCCGCCGCCGCUCCCUGCCCCAUCCACCGCCGCUCCCUGCCCCAUCCACCGCCGCUGCUCACCGCAUUCAACCUCUGUUGCAUCCCAGCACCUCCAUAGCCACCGUGGACCAUCUCUCUCCUCGCUCCUCUCUCUUGGAUCAGCAUGCGGCGACGGAUGCUUCCGGUCGUGUGGUCGUGAUGCGGCUGGUCGGGGAACGAUGGCGCUCUGCUCUCCUGCGGCAGCGAUGCGUAUGGUGACAACAAUGUUCUUUUGUGCCCCUCCACUUCGGACCCCUGAUGCACGGAAGUACACGGAGAAAAUCACGCUCCGCUCAGCAAAUUCGUCCAUGUCCUAAGUGGCUGCUCGGCAAGGUAAUUUUCUUCUCUGAAGUUCUCUCAUGGAACUUGGUGGAAUGGAUUCACGGGUGUGUUAGGUGGAGUGCCAGUGGAUUGCCAUGUUAGUGGGCAGAAUCUCAUCUCCUGUACACACGAAUUUUGGUUUGGCAAGGAACCGAGUCAAUACUAUUGUCCUUCGGCUUUGCAAUGGUGAUUUAGAUAGUUUUUUUACAACCAUGGUGGUUUAGUUAGUUUCUUAACAGGUGCUUCAGUUAGGACUAAUAGUUGAUAGUGAUCGACAAGAUUGAAUUCUGUAGAGGACAAUACAAUUUUGUAUAAUUUGUGGUUUAGUUAGUUUAAAAAAAUGGUUCAUGGUCUCAACUACUAUUUAGCUUACUACUGUAUAGUUGUGUGGAUUGUCGCUCAUGAAUAACACCCAAUGCAUUGCUUUCUGUUGCCCAGUGUACUACAGUUUAAUAUGCAGAACUUGAGCUUUGUUUGCCAAGAAAACGUCUAUGCUAAUUCCCACAAGGAGUAAUUAAUUCCACACCCACGUAUUUAUUUCUAAUCAUUGAUGCUUCAUCUGUUUAUGCUGCAGAGACAUGGUCACAUGGAUGAUUAGCAUCUUUUGGCAAAAGCAUGUUAAUUCACUGAAGAAAUACUACUGCUCCGAUGACUAUGAGCGUUGAUAUCUAAUCCUGAUUCUUGAGGACCACUUUAGGAUGUGAUCAUUAAUGUGGCUUGAAAGCUGCUUGACAUAGCGCAUGUAUUUGAUAGUUUGCUCAAUCAGAUUUAUCCCUUCAACCACAGCUAAGGCUACAACACUACUUCAUUGAGAUUUCUUUCCUACAGGACAUGGAUUUAUAAUCUUUUUUUUCAACAAUACGGUCAUGCUUCUUAUAUUUACUUUCAGUUCUAAAUACAUUUGUGAUUUUCUAUAUGCUGUAUUACUAAACUGUGUGUGCUAAACCAACCAUAUAGUAUAUAGAAAGGAUUCUAAAAUGUUAGCUUAUAUUGCAAACUCUUCAAAAUAUGCGGCCGUUUUACUGUUUUUGCCAUGAACUUGGGGAGCUUGGGACAGAGUAUGGUGUCAAUAAUUAAUAUAUACCAGAACAAUAUUUUUGUGAUAUUGUAUAUACUGACUUAGUGAUAAUGGAGUAUUUACCACAUUUUUGCCAUGGGCUCUAUACUGCAUUUUUGAAUUGGUUAGAAUAGCUGACGCCUUUUUUAUCUUCCUUGCGGUAUAUGCUACCAUCAAAGGGAGUAUAUAAGGUACUAAUUUCAAGUAUAUACUAUUGUACUACAUUUUGUCUAUAUACAUCUACAACCAAGUAGUAUGUGCACUGCUCUUUGUGCACGGCAGUAUAUACAUCAUUUUUUGUAAGGCAAUAUAUAACAGCUUUUUUGUGAACCAGUAUACUACUUUUCUUAGUCAGUAUAUAUAUACAUAAUCUUUUAGUCGAUAUAUACUACUUUUCUUUAGUCGGUAUAUACUACUGUUCUUGAUACAAAGGGUAAAGCAGCGCGCACAUGACACACAGCAGCCGUUGUCGACUAGACGGUGGUGCCGCUGAAUGGAUCCAUCAGUGCAUGCCAUGCCACCAUCGUUUCUUAUUGCUGCCAUUGUUGAUGAGGUUGGCAGUGUCGCCGCAUGGGUCAAUCAGUGCACACCAUGCUGCCACGUUGUCGAUGAAUGGUGGUGCCAUCUUAUCAAUCGAUGCUAUGUGACUAGCUUCGUCAAUGGCUUUGCACCUUGAUCCAGAUUGUUUUCAUGCAAAACUGUCAUGUUUGCCUCUUAAUGACCACAUCCGCUAAGUCAUCUCUCUCUCUCUCUCUCCUACUGCAGCUAACUAACUGUGAUGAUCUUCUCCAGGUUUUUUGGCUGGAUACUGAGAUGGCACCAUUGUGCUGCUGAAGUUAAACCCUGUUUAUUGGGACGUACAAGUGGGCGGCAAGCACACAUGGCGGCCGGAGACAGGCCAUAUUUUUCCAAUGACUGCUGCUAGGAUUGAUGUCCUAUUGUCGGAGAAACAAUGGCAACCGUCGUCAGUCGCACCGUUUUGUCCAUCUAUGAUAUCAUCCAUGUAUAUUAUUUUGUUGACAAUCACCAUAGGUGCCCGCUCUUAAUAGAUUUCCAUUUUGAUCUCUGUAGCUUUUUAUGGAUGAAACCUUACUAUGUUACAUGCAUGCCUCAUAUAUGCAUUUUACCACUGCUAUUUUCUUAAAGAUGGUAACAUUGUCCAUCAGAUCUUUUUCUUAGUUUCUUUCCAAGGUAAUUGGUGUGGUUGAUUGCUAUUGAGUGGAAAUAUUCUGCUCCUGAGCUUCAAAUAUAUUUUAAACAAAUCAAAUCUCUCCUUUAAAAUUCAAAAAAAUCCUUAAAUUUCCAUACAUGUAAAUGUCCAUUAUGUAUAUGUAGCAUUUGAUUAUAAUAAAUUGUUUGCAGGUUAUACAAAAAAUACUUAUCUCUAGAUCUGAAAUAGCAAACAGUAAAUAAAAGCGAUGCACGCAUUGGUGUGUGACAUACAAAAAAAGGAUUUUAUAAUAACGUUUAAAGGUAGACAGUACAAAUCAACAAGUAUAAUUUUUCUGAAACUUCAAGAACGCACUUUUCUUUCUUCUUUUGAACUGACCUCAAAGGAGCCAUUCAGGGUUUCCACGAAAUAUCAUGAUAUACUAACGUUACAGAGUUCUAGACCGUGGAUUUGGUAAGCACUCUAGACUUUGAAUCACACCGUUAACAAAGGAGAAAGAUAAUAUAUUUUGUGAUGAAAAUAUAAUAAUUAUUUUUAGAGUAAGGCAUGUUAAAUAAUAAACUAGGCCGUAGUGAGAUCCAAUAAGUCAAUAGACGUAUGAAAAAACUGGUGAAUAUUGUCAUAUUGUAGAUGCACAUGUUCGAUUUCACAUUUUAAUUUAAUUGCAUAAAUUGUGUAUGACUCGAACUCUAGAGAAAAUUUUCUUGGUGCAGGCACUCAAAUCACGAGCCAAACAUUGAUGCAGGCUACUAUGGGGGCUAGGAAGCAGGAUCGACUUGAAGCCAACUUAAAAUUAAUUCUAAUGAGUAUUUGGUCUUCAUUCUGUCUCGAUGCAAACACAUCAACGUGUGGACUACAAUCCAUUGAUGCGUGGAGACCAGAUAUUCAUGUAUAUCGGCCUCACGCGUGUCUUUGCUGGAGCCCAUUCAUGGCGAGGAUAUACAUGGUUGAUGGCCCAACGAUCCUUAGGGGAUGGAAGGAUCCCAUGACUAUAGGAAUUGCACUAAAUAAACUGUGUACUAACUAGAGCAAUGAUAUAUUUCAUAGAUCUAGGAUAUAUAUGUGAAAUAACAAUUUACUUCAUAUAACUACUAGGCUGACAAGUAUUUGGCAUUC